UGAAGUUAAAGGCUGUGGNUUAACCAUAGUACGCUUUGGAAACUGUUUAACUUGAGUGCAAGAGGGGAGAGUGGAAUUCCAUGUGUAGCGGUGAAAUGCGUAGAUAUAUGGAGGAACACCGGUGGCGAAAGCGGCUCUCUGGCUUGUAACUGACGCUGAGGCUCGAAAGCGUGGGGAGCAANCAGGAUUAGAUACCCUGGUAGUNCACGCCGUAAACGAUGAGUGCUAGGUGUUAGACCCUUUCCGGGGUUUAGUGCCGUAGCUAACGCAUUAAGCACUCCGCCUGGGGAGUACGACCGCAAGAUUGAAAUUCAAAGGAAUUGACGGGGGCCCGCACAAGCGGUGGAGCAUGUGGUUUAAUUCGAAGCAACGCGAAGAACCUUACCAGGUCUUGACAUCCCUUUGACCGCUCUAGAGAUAGAGUUUUCCUUCGGGACAGAGGUGACAGGUGGUGCAUGGUUGUUGUCAGCUCGUGUCGUGAGAUGUUGGUUAAGUCCCGCAACGAGCGCAACCCCUAUUGUUAGUUGCCAUCAUUUAGUUGGGCACUCUAGCGAGACUGCCGGUAAUAAACCGGAGGAAGGUGGGGAUGACGUCAAAUCAUCAUGCCCCUUAUGACCUGGGCUACACACGUGCUACAAUGGCUGGUACAACGAGUCGCAAGCCGGUGACGGCAAGCUAAUCUCUUAAAGCCAGUCUCAGUUCGGAUUGUAGGCUGCAACUCGCCUACAUGAAGUCGGAAUCGCUAGUAAUCGCGGAUCAGCACGCCGCGGUGAAUACGUUCCCGGGCCUUGUACACACCGCCCGUCACACCACGAGAGUUUGUAACACCCGAAGUCGG
rnacentral:rRNA from 1 species